rnacentral:sRNA from 1 species
GCCAUAACACGACACUGGUAGAUAUUGC